rnacentral:rRNA from 1 species
GAUGAACGCUGGCGGCGUGCUUAACACAUGCAAGUCGAACGGGGAACAUUUUAUGGAAGCUUCGGUGGAAAUAGCUUGUUCCUAGUGGCGGACGGGUGAGUAACGCGUGGGUAACCUGCCUCACACUGGGGGAUAACAGUCAGAAAUGACUGCUAAUACCGCAUAAGCGCACGGGAUUGCAUGAUCCAGUGUGAAAAACUCCGGUGGUGUGAGAUGGACCCGCGUUGGAUUAGCCAGUUGGCAGGGUAACGGCCUACCAAAGCGACGAUCCAUAGCCGGCCUGAGAGGGUGGACGGCCACAUUGGGACUGAGACACGGCCCAGACUCCUACGGGAGGCAGCAGUGGGGAAUAUUGCACAAUGGGGGAAACCCUGAUGCAGCGACGCCGCGUGAAGGAAGAAGUAUCUCGGUAUGUAAACUUCUAUCAGCAGGGAAGAAAAUGACGGUACCUGACUAAGAAGCCCCGGCUAACUACGUGCCAGCAGCCGCGGUAAUACGUAGGGGGCAAGCGUUAUCCGGAUUUACUGGGUGUAAAGGGAGCGUAGACGGAGCAGCAAGUCUGAUGUGAAAGGCAGGGGCUCAACCCCUGGACUGCAUUGGAAACUGUUGAUCUUGAGUACCGGAGAGGUAAGCGGAAUUCCUAGUGUAGCGGUGAAAUGCGUAGAUAUUAGGAGGAACACCAGUGGCGAAGGCGGCUUACUGGACGGUAACUGACGUUGAGGCUCGAAAGCGUGGGGAGCAAACAAGAUUCGAUACCCUGGUAGUCCACGCCGUAAA